rnacentral:rRNA from 1 species
UUGGAGGGCAAGUCUGGUGCCAGCAGCCGCGGUAAUUCCAGCUCCAAUAGCGUAUAUUAAAGUUGUUGCAGUUAAAAAGCUCGUAGUUGAAUUUCGGGGUUAGUAGGUUGGUCAUGCCUCUGGUAUGUACUGGUCUCACUGAUUCCUCCUUCCUGAUGAGCCGUAAUGCCAUUAAUUUGGUGUUGCGGGGAAUUUGGACUGUUACUUUGAAAAAAUUAGAGUGUUUAAAGCAAGCUAACGCUUGAAUACAUUAGCGUGGAAUAAUGAAAUAGGACGUUCGAUCCUAUUUUGUUGGUUUCUAGGAUUGACGUAAUGAUUAAUAGGGAUAGUUGGGGGCAUUAGUAUUCAAUUGUCAGAGGUGAAAUUCUUGGAUUUAUUGAAGACUAACUACUGCGAAAGCAUUUGCCAAGGAUGUUUUCAUUAAUCAAGAACGAAAGUUAGGGGAUCGAAGACGAUCAGAUACCGUCGUAGUCUUAACCAUAAACUAUGCCGACUAGGGAUCGGAUGAUGUUAAUUUUUUAAUGACUCAUUCGGCGCCUUACGGGAAAC